rnacentral:rRNA from 1 species
GAUGAACGCUGGCGGCGUGCCUAAUACAUGCAAGUCGAGCGAACAGAUGAGGAGCUUGCUCCUCUGACGUUAGCGGCGGACGGGUGAGUAACACGUGGAUAACCUACCUAUAAGACUGGGAUAACUUCGGGAAACCGGAGCUAAUACCGGAUAGUAUAUUGAACCGCAUGGUUCAAUAGUGAAAGACGGUUUUGCUGUCACUUAUAGAUGGAUCCGCGCCGCAUUAGCUAGUUGGUAAGGUAACGGCUUACCAAGGCAACGAUGCGUAGCCGACCUGAGAGGGUGAUCGGCCACACUGGAACUGAGACACGGUCCAGACUCCUACGGGAGGCAGCAGUAGGGAAUCUUCCGCAAUGGGCGAAAGCCUGACGGAGCAACGCCGCGUGAGUGAUGAAGGUCUUCGGAUCGUAAAACUCUGUUAUUAGGGAAGAACAAAUGUGUAAGUAACUAUGCACGUCUUGACGGUACCUAAUCAGAAAGCCACGGCUAACUACGUG